UACGAAGGGGGCUAGCGUUGUUCGGAAUUACUGGGCGUAAAGGGCGCGUAGGCGGUACUUCAAGUCAGGCGUGAAAGCCCCGGGCUCAACCUUGGAAUUGCCUUUGAUACUGGCUGUCUUGAGUUCGGGAGAGGUGAGUGGAAUGCCGAGUGUAGAGGUGAAAUUCGUAGAUAUUCGGCGGAACACCAGUGGCGAAGGCGACUCACUGGCCCGAUACCGACGCUGAGGCGCGAAAGCGUGGGGAGCAAACAGGGAGUUAAGAUA
rnacentral:rRNA from 1 species